GUGCCAGCCGCCGCGGUAAUACAGAGGGGGCAAGCGUUGUUCGGAAUUACUGGGCGUAAAGGGCGCGUAGGCGGCCAACUAAGUCGGACGUGAAAUCCCCUGGCUCAACCAGGGAACUGCGUCCGAUACUGGAUGGCUUGAAUCCGGGAGAGGGAUGUGGAAUUCCAGGUGUAGCGGUGAAAUGCGUAGAUAUCUGGAGGAACACCGGUGGCGAAGGCGGCAUCCUGGACCGGUAUUGACGCUGAUGCGCGAAAGCCAGGGGAGCAAACGGGAUUAGAUACCCCGGUAGUCCUGGCCCUAAACGAUGAAUGCUUGGUGUGGUGGGUAUCGAUCCCCGCCGUGCCGAAGCUAACGCAUUAAGCAUUCCGCCUGGGGAGUACGGUCGCAAGGCUGAA
rnacentral:rRNA from 1 species